rnacentral:rRNA from 1 species
CCUUCGGGAUUAGUGGCAGACGGGUGAGUAACGCGUGGGAAGCUACCUUGUGGUAGGGGACAACAGUUGGAAACGACUGCUAAUACCCUAUGAGCCCUAUGGGGGAAAGAUUUAUCGCCAUGAGAUGUGCCCGCGUUAGAUUAGCUAGUUGGUAAGGUAAUGGCUUACCAAGGCGACGAUCUAUAGCUGGUCUGAGAGGAUGAUCAGCCACACUGGGACUGAGACACGGCCCAGACUCCUACGGGAGGCAGCAGUGGGGAAUAUUGGACAAUGGGGGCAACCCUGAUCCAGCCAUGCCGCGUGUGUGAUGACGGCCUUAGGGUUGUAAAGCACUUUCAGCAGUGAAGAUAAUGACAUUAACUGCAGAAGAAGCCCCGGCUAACUUCGUGCCAGCAGCCGCGGUAAUACGAAGGGGGCUAGCGUUGUUCGGAAUCACUGGGCGUAAAGAGUACGUAGGCGGACUGAUAAGUUAGGGGUGAAAUCCCAAGGCUCAACCUUGGAACUGCCUUUGAUACUGUCAGUCUUGAGAUCGAGAGAGGUGAGUGGAACUCCGAGUGUAGAGGUGAAAUUCGUAGAUAUUCGGAAGAACACCAGUGGCGAAGGCGGCUCACUGGCUCGAUACUGACGCUGAGGUACGAAAGCGUGGGGGAGCAAACAGGAUUAGAUACCCUGGUAGUCCACGCC